CAGCCACAUAUGGAUUCUGAUGAACUCACGGGUGAGGAUCACUUGGGUCGCACUCGUCCAAUCACAAGGAUCUAUCAUCCAACAACGAACUCCUGCGUCUUGAGGAAACUGGUCUCCGACCCACUGAAUUUGGGACCUUGCACCAACUCAGACCCGUGGAGCUACACACAACAAAAGAAUCUGAUGAUCAAGGGCACCUAUUUCUGCCUCCAGGCCACUGGACCAGGCAAGCCAGUGAGGCUCAGCAUCAACUGUGUGCCUGAAGACACGCAAUGGGAGAUGAUUGGGGAUUCAGAGAGAAUGCAUCUAUCGUCCAAGCUAUCCGACGGCACUGCCGUCUGCUUGGACGUCAAGCAAGAUGGAACCAUCGUCUCUAACCCAUGCAAAACGCAGGGCAGUGCUGAGGAAGAGGAGUAUGAUAGCCAGUGGUUUCAUAUGGUAACAGGC
rnacentral:misc_RNA from 1 species